UGACCCAGGCUCCAGGGAGAUGUUAUCCAUAGGAGCCUAGCGGGAGUCAGAUAGCAUAUUGCCUAAGCAGCACAGUUAACAAUGGGUGCGUUUAACAGCUAAAAGCUAUAAUCAGUAAUUGCAAAAAGGAAACAAAACUUUAGUUCCUAGCUACUUAAUCAUCAAUGGUUAACUCUCUGCCAGUUUCAGUGGGACGGUCAAUAAACCAUCUCAGCUGAGGGCUCUUAGUCAGCUGAACUGCGAGCUGACUGCAUUCACCAAUGUGAGCCCAGAGGCUAGCAGCAGAGGAACGACUCAUCUGAGCACAGCCGGGAUUGCCCAGCCUCAGAAUUAUGGGGAUAAUGAGGCACAGACAGCCUGAGGAAUUGGCCCCACAUCAGACAAGAUGGAAUGCGGUUGGGGUCUUUUUUGGUUUCCAUCCAAGAAUUAGCCCUGAGCUAACUGCUGCCAAUCCUCCUCUUUUUGCUGAGGAAGACUGGCCCUGAGCUAACAUCUGUGCCCAUCUUCCUCUACUUUAUAUGUGGGAUGCCUACCACAGCAUGGCUUGCCAAGCAGUGCCAUGUCCACACCCAGGAUCCAAACCAGCAAACCCCGGGCCGCCGAAACAGAACGUGCUUAAUGAAGCAGAACUUAACCGCUUCACCACCGGGCCGGCCCUGAACUCAUUUAUUAAUUUGAGUAGUGUUUUAGUAGAUUCUUU
rnacentral:lncRNA from 1 species